rnacentral:rRNA from 1 species
UUAGGAAUUUUGGGCAAUGGGCGAAAGCCUGACCCAGCAACGCCGCGUGGGUGACGAAGGCCUUCGGGUUGUAAAGCCCUUUCUGAGGGAAGAUGAUGACGGUACCUCAGGAAGAAGCACCGGCUAACUACGUGCCAGCAGCCGCGGUAAUACGUAGGGUGCGAGCGUUGCCCGGAUUUAUUGGGCGUAAAGGGCGCGUAGGCGGCCACGCACGUCCGUUGUGAAAUCGCCCGGGCUCAACUGGGCGGGGUCGGCGGAUACGGUGUGGCUUGAGCAAGCUAGGGGGCAAUGGAAUUCCCGGUGUAGUGGUGGAAUGCGUAGAUAUCGGGAGGAACACCAGUGGCGAAGGCGGUUGCCUGGAGCUUUGCUGACGCUGAGGCGCGAAAGCGUGGGGAGCGAUCCGGAUUAGAUACCCGGGUAGUCCACGCUGUAAACGAUGUCGACUAGGUGUCGGGGGUAUCGACCCCCUCGGCGCCGGAGCUAACGCAUUAAGUCGACCGCCUGGGGACUACGGCCGCAAGGCUAAAACUCAAAGGAAUUGAC